GCCCCUGAUGAUGAAUCAAAAAAUACUUUCGUUCUUCCGAGAUAUUUCAUGCGGAAAAAUAUUGGAGACCUGAACUGAAGAGGC